rnacentral:rRNA from 1 species
AGUGAACGCUGGCGGUAGGCCUAACACAUGCAAGUCGAACGGCAGCACAGUAAGAGCUUGCUCUUACGGGUGGCGAGUGGCGGACGGGUGAGGAAUACAUCGGAAUCUAUUUUUUCGUGGGGGAUAACGUAGGGAAACUUACGCUAAUACCGCAUACGACCUACGGGUGAAAGCAGGGGAUCUUCGGACCUUGCGCGAUUGAAUGAGCCGAUGUCGGAUUUGCUAGUUGGCGGGGUAAAGGCCCACCAAGGCGACGAUCCGUAGCUGGUCUGAGAGGAUGAUCGGCCACACUGGAACUGGGACACGGUCCAGACUCCUACGGGGGCAAGCAGUGGGGAAUAUUGGACAAUGAGCGCAAGCCUAAUCCAGAAAUACCGCGUGGGUGAAGAAGGCCUUCGGGUUGUAAAGCCCUUUUGUUGAGAAAGAAAAGCAGCAGAUUAAUACCCCGCUGUUCUGACGGUACCCAAAGAGUAAGCACCGGCUAACUUCGUG